GGGGGGAGCAAGCGUUGUUCGGAUUUACUGGGCGUAAAGGGCGCGUAGGCGGUAGCACAAGUCAGUUGUGAAAUCUCCGGGCUUAACUCGGAAAGGUCAACUGAUACUGUGCGACUAGAGUGCAGAAGGGGCAACUGGAAUUCUCGGUGUAGCGGUGAAAUGCGUAGAUAUCGAGAGGAACACCUGCGGCGAAGGCGGGUUGCUGGGCUGACACUGACGCUGAGGCGCGAAAGCCAGGGGAGCGAACGGGAUUAGAUACCCCGGUAGUCCUGGCCUUAAACGAUGGAUGCUUGGUGUCUGGAGUUUUAUAGUCUCCGGGUGCCGCAGCUAACGCGUUAAGCAUCCCGCCUGGGGAGUACGGUCGCAAGACUG
rnacentral:rRNA from 1 species